rnacentral:rRNA from 1 species
GGACGAACGCUGGCGGCGUGCUUAAUACAUGCAAGUCAACUUGACUUUAGAUAGCAAUAUCGAAAAGUAGGGUGGCGCACGGGUGCGUAACGCGUAGGUAAUCUGCCCUGAGGUCUGACAUAACCCGUCGAAAGGCGGGCUAACAUCAGAUGAUAUAUAAUCACGACAUCGUGGAAAUAUCAAAUCUUCGGAGCCUUGGGAUGAGCCUGCGUCUGAUUAGGUAGUUGGCGGAGUAAUAGCCCACCAAGCCUACGAUCAGUAGCUGGUCUGAGAGGAUGAUCAGCCACACUGGAACUGAGACACGGUCCAGACUCCUACGGGAGGCAGCAGUAAGGAAUAUUGCUCAAUGGGGGGAAACCCUGAAGCAGCAACGCCGCGUGAAGGAUGAAAUACUUUGUAUGUAAACUUCUGUAAGAUGGGAAAAAUAUUCUCCUCGGGAGAAUUGAUCGUACCAUCAGAGUAAGCCCCGGCUAACUACGUG